UUUAUGGAGAGUUUGAUCCUGGCUCAGAGUGAACGCUGGCGGCGUGCCUAAUACAUGCAAGUCGAACGAUGAAGCUUUCUAGCUUGCUAGAAUGCUGAUUAGUGGCGCACGGGUGAGUAACGCAUAGGUCAUGUGCCUCUUAGUUUGGGAUAGCCAUUGGAAACGAUGAUUAAUACCAGAUACUCCCUACGGGGGAAAGAUUUAUCGCUAAGAGAUCAGCCUAUGUCCUAUCAGCUUGUUGGUAAGGUAAUGGCUUACCAAGGCUAUGACGGGUAUCCGGCCUGAGAGGGUGAACGGACACACUGGAACUGAGACACGGUCCAGACUCCUACGGGAGGCAGCAGUAGGGAAUAUUGCUCAAUGGGGGAAACCCUGAAGCAGCAACGCCGCGUGGAGGAUGAAGGUUUUAGGAUUGUAAACUCCUUUUGUUAGAGAAGAUAAUGACGGUAUCUAACGAAUAAGCACCGGCUAACUCCGUGCCAGCAGCCGCGGUAAUACGGAGGGUGCAAGCGUUACUCGGAAUCACUGGGCGUAAAGAGCGCGUAGGCGGGAUAGUCAGUCAGGUGUGAAAUCCUAUGGCUUAACCAUAGAACUGCAUUUGAAACUACUAUUCUAGAGUGUGGGAGAGGUAGGUGGAAUUCUUGGUGUAGGGGUAAAAUCCGUAGAGAUCAAGAGGAAUACUCAUUGCGAAGGCGACCUGCUGGAACAUUACUGACGCUGAUUGCGCGAAAGCGUGGGGAGCAAACAGGAUUAGAUACCCUGGUAGUCCACGCCCUAAACGAUGGAUGCUAGUUGUUGGAGGGCUUAGUCUCUCCAGUAAUGCAGCUAACGCAUUAAGCAUCCCGCCUGGGGAGUACGGUCGCAAGAUUAAAACUCAAAGGAAUAGACGGGGACCCGCACAAGCGGUGGAGCAUGUGGUUUAAUUCGAAGAUACACGAAGAACCUUACCUAGGCUUGACAUUGAGAGAAUCCGCUAGAAAUAGUGGAGUGUCUGGCUUGCCAGACCUUGAAAACAGGUGCUGCACGGCUGUCGUCAGCUCGUGUCGUGAGAUGUUGGGUUAAGUCCCGCAACGAGCGCAACCCCCUUUCUUAGUUGCUAACAGGUUAUGCUGAGAACUCUAAGGAUACUGCCUCCGUAAGGAGGAGGAAGGUGGGGACGACGUCAAGUCAUCAUGGCCCUUACGCCUAGGGCUACACACGUGCUACAAUGGGGUGCACAAAGAGAAGCAAUACUGCGAAGUGGAGCCAAUCUUCAAAACACCUCUCAGUUCGGAUUGUAGGCUGCAACUCGCCUGCAUGAAGCUGGAAUCGCUAGUAAUCGCAAAUCAGCCAUGUUGCGGUGAAUACGUUCCCGGGUCUUGUACUCACCGCCCGUCACACCAUGGGAGUUGUGUUUGCCUUAAGUCAGGAUGCUAAAUUGGCUACUGCCCACGGCACACACAGCGACUGGGGUGAAGUCGUAACAAGGUAACCGUAGGUGAACCUGCGGUUGGAUCACCUCCUUU
rnacentral:rRNA from 1 species